rnacentral:rRNA from 1 species
UCGGGUGACAGGUGGUGCAUGGUUGUCGUCAGCUCGUGUCGUGAGAUGUUGGGUUAAGUCCCGCAACGAGCGCAACCCCUAUUGUUAGUUGCCAUCAUUCAGUUUGGGCACUCUAGCGAGACUGCCGGUAAUAAACCGGAGGAAGUGGGAUGACGUCAAAUCAUCAUGCCCCUUAUGACCUGGGCUACACACGUGCUACAAUGGUUGGUACAACAAGUUGCGAGUCGGUGACGGCGAGCUAAUCUCCUUAAAAGCCAAUCUCAGUUCGGAUUGUAGGCUGCAACUCGCCUACAUGAAGUCGGAAUCGCUAGUAAUCGCGGAUCAGCACGCCGCGGUGAAUACGUUCCCGGGCCUU